CGGACCGCGUGCCAACCUCUUCCUCCGCCUCGUCGUCGUUUCGAACUGUGGGUGGCAUCCGAAUCGACCGAACCGAGACGCCAACGAGCCCGAUUCGCCUGAGCCCAGCCCAAGCUAGGUUUUCCUCCGCCGCGCCGGCGCUAGGUCACCACCCCCAGCCGCCGCCAUGUACAACGGCAUCGGCCUGCAGACCCCGCGGGGGUCCUGCAAAGGGUUCAUGAACACGCAUGGUCACCAUGCCGCAGCGCGGAAGGAGAACCAGCUGCAGACUGUGAGGGGUGCUCUUGGGCUAGACGCCGAGGAUGUGCAGAAGAAAGGGGGGCUGUAGUCCUGCAGAAAGUGAUGUGGAGCCUGGAGAGCUUGUUCCAAGGAAGCAGGGGACGAUGAUGCGGCUUGCAGCAAGACCUGUAGGAAGGGUAGAUCAUGAAUGUAAUUUAGAUGCAGACUAUGAUCUUGACCUCAGGAAGUCGGAGAAGUAGGAGAGUUUCGUGUUUGUGUACUUACGUGAGGCCUAGAACGCACCUAAAUUAGAGUACCGCUACCUGAAACCAAAAAUGGCAGAGUGGCAGUAGUAUGCAAAUCGUUCUGAAUCAGUGAGAAGAGGUCACCUGGAUGUAUAAACUGAAACAUCUUCCAUCUUUUUAAUUCUAGGGACUCGUGAGAAAGUAA